GCUGGGUGUGGUGGUGCACACCUGUAAGCUCAGUGACUUGGGGGCUGAGGCAGGAGGAUGGCAAAUUCAAGGCCAGCCCAGGCCACUU
rnacentral:sRNA from 1 species